CCCCGGGCUGGCGGCUCUCCCAGCGCGGGGCGGGGUCCGAGACGGGGCAGCCGCGAGCGGGGAAGGAGGGUCCAGGCGUGCCGGACCCGCCCCCAGACCCCGCGCCUAGCCCUCCCUUCCGCGCGCUUACUUUGUUUAUAACUUGAAAAAUCCUCUCCAUCUCCCUUCCCUGCCUCCUCUCCUUUCCCUUUCCUCUGCCAGUACAACUAGACCCGGCGUCUGGCGUCGCCGGUGCCUAGCAUUCUGCGGGGCAGGCGGUCUUGCUUGAUUGGGUUUCUCAUGGGUCUCUGACUGGCGUUUCUACGACGCGGCUCUCACGGACUCAGGCCAGGCCACUCGCAGGAUUAAUUGGAAUUCUUCAAAAUGUCGGGUGUGGUACCCACAGCCCCUGAACAGCCUGCAGGUGAAAUGGAAAAUCAAACAAAACCACCAGAUCCAAGGCCUGAUGCUCCUCCUGAAUACAAUUCUCAUUUUUUACCAGGACCCCCUGGAACAGCUGUCCCUCCACCUACUGGCUACCCAGGAGGCUUCCCUAUGGGAUACUACAGUCCACAGCAACCCAGUACCUUCCCUUUGUACCAGCCAGUUGGUGGUACCCAUCCUGUCCGUUAUCAGCCUGGCAAAUAUCCUAUGCCAAAUCAGUCUGUUCCAAUAACAUGGAUGCCAGGGCCAACUCCUAUGGCAAACUGCCCUCCUGGUCUGGAAUACUUAGUUCAGUUGGACAACAUACAUGUUCUUCAGCAUUUUGAGCCUCUGGAAAUGAUGACACGUUUUGAAACUAAUAAUAGAUAUGAUAUUAAAAACAACUCAGACCAGAUGGUUUACAUUGUAACCGAAGACACAGAUGACUUUACCAGGAAUGCCUAUCGGACACUAAGGCCGUUCGUCCUCCGGGUCACUGAUUGUAUGGGCCGAGAAAUUAUGACAAUGCAGAGACCCUUCAGAUGCACCUGCUGUUGCUUCUGUUGCCCCUCUGCCAGACAAGAGCUGGAGGUGCAGUGUCCUCCUGGUGUCACCAUUGGCUUUGUUGCGGAACAUUGGAACCUGUGCAGGGCGGUGUACAGCAUCCAAAAUGAGAAGAAAGAAAAUGUGAUGAGAGUUCGUGGGCCAUGCUCAACCUAUGGCUGUGGUUCAGAUUCUGUUUUUGAGGUCAAAUCCCUUGAUGGUGUAUCCAACAUCGGCAGUAUUAUCCGGAAGUGGAAUGGUUUGUUAUCAGCAAUGGCAGAUGCUGACCAUUUUGACAUUCACUUCCCACUAGACCUGGAUGUGAAGAUGAAAGCCAUGAUUUUUGGAGCUUGCUUCCUCAUUGACUUCAUGUAUUUUGAAAGAUCUCCACCACAACGUUCACGAUAGAGAGACACAGCAAGCCAUCAACUAUGGUUAAUUUUGAAAAAUGGAAAAGUUGGAUUGGGCUUACAGUCAGCACUCAGUUAUUUGCAAGUGUAUUUCUUUGCUUUGUAGAGUAUUUUUAUUGGGUGUUAACUUUGACAGCUGAGAGUGGGCUUGCAAGAACACAAUCUAAAAGUGUGUUUCAAUUGAGUAUCUCUCUAGUAGAAUAGGAGUUCAUCCUGAAAAGCUGUGACUCAUUAACCCAGUAAACAUAUACAAAAUAAGCUUAAAACACUGUAAACAUGAGAUAAGGGAAAAUGAAUCCAGAGUUCUCAUAUUAAUAGGUAGUGAAACAAUAAGGCUUUUUAGAGCAGACUUUGUUGGCAUAAAAUAACCUGGCUUCUAUCCCUAACCCUUUCCUACCUUUCCUCUCCAUCAACAUGUCCUCAUACUGAAGACAAACUUGUUUCAAUGAUAGUCUUCAUUUUUAAAAACAAAAAGGCAGGCAGACAGAAAUAAUGAUGUUUUCUUGCACUAAGAAGGUACUACUUGUACACAUAUAUCAAAACCUCAUUCUGCAAAGUUUUUGAAGGUUUCAAUGGGAAAUUUGAUUUUAUUACAAAAUAAAACAUUUUUUAAUGUUAAAGUUUAUAUAUUCCAUGCUUGUUUUCUCAUUCACUGGCAUGGAUGAUCAGGAGCUGCCUAUAUAUGAAGGCAGAAUCAGACUAUCAGGAAAGGAGCUGGCCAGGGCCACAGCCAGUCAAGAUCUCUGAGCAACUUAGAGACAUUGGUGUCAUUAUAUGAAGCUUGCAUUUAAUACAUUUAUACAUAAUACAUUUGUACAUUUAAUUCAUAACGUCUCUUGGUCACAGAUGCCUUAUAUAUAAAAUAAGUUGCCAGAUCUCUAAGAUUGCCUAGUACACCUUUGUAUCUCAUUUGAUGUGAUACCCAGAAGAGAUCAUUGUUUUUUGUUUUUGUUUUUGUUUUUUUCAAGAAGAUCCUUCGUGAUCACCAUGCUGUUCUCAUGAGGAAGAGCAAACCUCAUCAAGAGGUGAUAGUACCAAGAAGAUGAAAUGCUAUAAGGAGUCCCUGCUAUAAUUGUAAUGAAAGAAAACCAAAGGGUUGGAUAAAAGCUUCCACAUUCGGUCUCUUCAUAUCCAGCUCUGCUACCAAAGAAACUCUGAUGCUUCUCCAGCCCAAGCCAGCCAAGUCCUGAAGUAUCCAAGCUAACCUCUGACUUCCUGGGCUCAGAAAUGUUUUGUUGCUUCUGUUUCUUCUCCGUCCCUGGGUCCACGCUCACAGGAUUAAAUUGUUCUUCACAUUAAACUCCACUUAAUAGUUUCCUUGUCUAGCACUCAGGUAGUUUUAAAACGUGGCCAAAAAUUAUUUGACACUACUCCUAGCGAGAGAUGGGGUCUUUGUCCCCUCCCCUUGAAUAUGGGUAGUCUUGUGAUUGUGAAUGUUUCAACCAGGUGAGUGUGGUGGGAAUGACACUGUGUGGCUUAUGAAGCUGGGACAUGAGGGGAAGUGCAGUUUCGAGCUUGUUUCUGGAACACUCACUCUUGGAGGUCUAAGCCACCAUAUAAAGUCUGACUACCUUGAAGCUGUCUGCUGUGAAUUAGCUCAGGCUCCCUGGAGAGACUGUGCGUAGGCACUGAGCCCAAUAGUGAGUGAAUGAGCCUUCAGAUGAUUCCAGCUCUUUCAGUUUUCUCUCAGCCUUUGAAUCUUCCUGGCUGACACCACAGACAAGGAGAAGCAGGGUGAAGCUGUUUUUACUGUGCAUUUUCUGAAUUUCUGAGGCCAGAAUCUGUGAGCUUAAUAAAAUGGUGGUUGUAAGUGGCACUGCCAGAUUUUGGGGUGAUUUGUUACACAGCAAUUGUAACCAGAACAGGGAAUUUGAAUCCAACUUGAGCCAGACUUCUUACAAAGGACUGAAGUCAGCUAUUUUCUUUCUAUGGCCCAGGAGCUAAAUGCAACUAUUCUCCCAUGCUAACAUCAUGCUCUUCCCAAAUGUUCCAUUAACUCAAGCAGCCUGAAAGAGAAACUCUGCUUCCUAUCACAAAUAUGUCCAGGGAGCCCCUAUACAUAGUUAGAGAUUUCUCUUAAUAAGUCAUAUCCUUCCCUUAGUAAGUCAUAUCCUUCACCUGUGAAACUUCUGGAUCCUGGGAUUAAAUGACUCAAUUUGCUUUGCUUUCCACGUUCUAGAAAUUGUCUCACUUCCUAAAAAGCAUGAAUGAAGUUGUCUUCUGGUCCAAUUUGGAUUUAGCUGAAGAUUCUAACCUGAACGUUUUCUUCAGUCAGGACCUAAGGACACAUUUACCCUGAAUGUCAGAUCCCAGAAGAGAGGACAAAGUAAAGGUAUAGAGAACAUGAAUAUAAAUUGAAAGCACAGGAGAAAAUCAGAACUAAAAGGACAUUUUAAAAAACAAAGCAAAACUGUCAUUCUUGGUCAUUUACUGUGUGCCAUUAUGUUACAUGUAUUAUGUCAUCUCAACAUAACAACAGUUCUAAUGAUGUAGAUAUUUUAUUAUACCCAUGAUAAAUGGAGGCAUGUAUCUUUCCUAAGGUGGGCAGAGCUUAUAGUUGUACAUAUUAGUCUGACACCAGAUCCUGCUCUCUUAAUCACUAGGCCCUACAGUCUGGAAACAAUCAACUUUAUUUUUAUACUAAUAUUAAAGUGUUAUUUGCCUUUUUUCACUUUCAUUAUCUCAUGAGUAUGUGGGGGAAUUUUCCAAUGUAUAUUUGGAAGCUCUGUAUAACUAAGUGAGCCAAUAUAUUGGAAACAUUUGAUGCACAAAGUUACAAAAUCAUACAUGGGUAAAAGAUCCAUUCAAAUAGCAAGAUACAUGAAUUGAUUUUAAUUUUUAAUAUAACAGAAUACCAAACAAAGAUUUCACAUCACAACCAACCUUUCAGAAAUUGCCAUUUUUCAAAUUUUGGUAAGUCAUCAAAGAAGACUAUCCACACUUAUCUGAAAAGGCUAUUAAGAUAAUCUUGUCUUUUUUUUUUUUUGCUACAUAUUUGUAUGAGGCUAGAUUUCUUCAUGUACUUCAAAAACCCCAUGAGGAAUUAAAUGCAGAAGAUAUGAGUAUAGCUGUGUCCUCUUAACCCAAGUAUUAAAGAAAUUUGCCAUUCUUUUAACUAAAUGUUUUGUUAUAAAAUAUAGUUAUUUUUGAUAUGUUAUUGAUGUUACCUAGUUAACAUUGUUAUUUUAAAAUGAAUAAAUAUUAUUUAAAUAUCUGUUUUAACUUUGAAUACAGUACUUUGAAUACAGUAACUUUGAAUACAGUAAAUAUCAAUGAAUAUAACCCUUACAAAUAAAAGGUCUUUGGGGCCUUUAAUAAUUUUUAGGGAUGGAAAGUAUUUCUGAGACCAAAAUGUUUGAGAAUCUCUGGCCUAGAAAUUUGGUAGAUGAAUAUGUAGGGCCAAAGAAAUGAACCUAUUACUUUUAUUAUGAUAGAGUCUGUAUUGUAUUUAAGUGCUUCUAAAUGUAAAGAGAGAGAGGUGAGUGUGUAGGAGAGAGGGCCACUGAUAAGGUACAGUGUGUGAGGAAGUGAGUGGAUCCAGAGCAAAAUUGGAGAGACUUUCCCGGGAGAGUCAGCAAUGACAAUAAAUGCAAGUCCAUCUAUGGUUGGAGCAACAGAAGUAGGAGGGGAAGUUAGUUCAAAAUCUUUAUACUGAUGGCCUCUGCUUUUUCUGUAAAGUAAACGGUAAGAAUUAUUUUAAGAAUGACACUGUGGGUUGGAUGCUGAGGAAAGAGGUAGAUAGUUGUACAAGCCAUUCAAUUAACAGAGAAAGCUUCCAAGGAUCAGAUAGCCUUACGUUGGCAAAUGAUCAAAAAUGAAUUCUUGCAUUCCUGAAAUGCCUCAUGGAAAAAGUUAAUGGUUUUCUGUUGUUAUUUAAUAUUGUUUACUCAGAUUGUACUUAGCUCUUGCAAAGAGCAAAAAUUGAGAAAAAGGUUAUCUUAUAAAAAAGAUAAUAAUAACAACUUGGAGUUAGGCAUCUUAGGUACAUCUCAUUAAAUUGAACAGCAAAUUAAACAGUUUUUAAAAUUUUAUUUUAGGAAAGGUUGUUACAUUCUUCUUUAUGCCCACUACAGAGUAAAAACAAUGUGACUAUUUCUAAUGUAGUAUAUGGCUUGCAAGUACAGAGCAAGAGUUAUUUCAUUUGUGAGGUUGGAAACUAAUACUUGAUCAAAAAUCAUUUGUCAAACUAACUUCCAAAGUUUCCUAAAACAGAAUCGCAUUGAUGUAACUUUAAAAAUAAAUAUUGGGCUUUACCCUGUUUCUGAUUCAACCAAAGAAGACAUAACCCUCUCAAGCAAUUCGAUGAAAAUAUCAAACAAUGCUAUAUCAAAUUAAUUCAUAAUUCAGGUUGAUAAGACAUAUUUUCCUGGGAGUUCACACUGUGAGGUUGGUAGAAAGCCUUGGUGUAGCUCUGGGCCUGCUAUCUGUCAGGGGCCCAGGAGGUAAGAGAAGGCACUUUCUGAUAAGAACUCAUUGGAGAAGCAGAAGAUCUCCAUGCAUAGCGACCUUACACAACAUCUUCCUUUUUACAAUUACUACAUUCCUUUGAAAGAGGCUAAAUGUUUUAUCUCUGAAAUGCACACAGUGAUUACUGGCACUAUGAAUGAUGCCAAAUUGUAUUAGCAGAUCCUUGUGGCAACUCAGGGAAAUGUAAAACCUAUGCCUCAUGUUCCAUAGCUACCUCUUCACACUGUCAUGAGACCAAGACCAAACUUUCUUCAAAUGAUGCACUAAAAAAGUCAAUAAAGUUCCUUUUGUAGGUGGGCAUAUGAAAGCCUCAGCAACAUUUGAUAUAAAGGGAACAAUGUUGAUUUAGAUUGUCUUGAUGGUGACCUUAGUAUCUAUGAGUACUUGAUUCUCAGAGUUAUGUUACUCUAGUACUGCAGAUCAUCCACAGAUUUAUUUUAUAAUUUGAAUACAAUUGGUUUCUUAGUUACGUUGAAAACUGAACUUUGUUUAAUUUUUGAAUGUAUUUUCUCAAAUUACUGCAAAGAACAAAUUAAUGCAAAAUAAAAUAGCAGAUGUUUUGUGGACCUUCUCUCUUGCAUUAGUGCUUAAAAUCAUUACAGGAAAAACACUGGAUUGAGUUUAGAAAAAUGAAAACUAAUUUGUCUUGGUUGUAAAGAUUAUAUGUUUUGAGAGUUUUUAUUAAAACUGAUAUUGAAUUUGAA